AUUGAACGCUGGCGGCAGGCCUAACACAUGCAAGUCGAGCGGAUGAAGGGAGCUUGCUCCUGGAUUCAGCGGCGGACGGGUGAGUAAUGCCUAGGAAUCUGCCUGGUAGUGGGGGAUAACGUCCGGAAACGGGCGCUAAUACCGCAUACGUCCUGAGGGAGAAAGUGGGGGAUCUUCGGACCUCACGCUAUCAGAUGAGCCUAGGUCGGAUUAACUAGUUGGUGGGGUAAAGGCCUACCAAGGCGACGAUCCGUAACUGGUCUGAGAGGAUGAUCAGUCACACUGGAGCUGGGACACGGUCCAGACUCCUACGGGAGGCAGCAGUGGGGAAUAUUGGGCAAUGGGCGAAAGCCUGAUCCAGCCAUGCCGCGUGUGUGAAGAAGGUCUUCGGAUUGUAAAGCACUUUAAGUUGGGAGGAAGGGCAGUAAGUUAAUACCUUGCUGUUUUGACGUUACCAACAGAAUAAGCACCGGCUAACUUCGUG
rnacentral:rRNA from 1 species